GGAUCCAAUCCAGGUUGCCACUUUGCAUUGAGUUGUUGUGUCUCUUAGUCAAAUUGGAAAUUUCUGGAAUAGUAAUGUGCUUAGGUACUAUAUGGAGAUAGAAUCACCGGAGCUCAGAAUGGUAGCAGUUUGUGAAAAAGAAGGAAUUUCAGGACCUUGAAAGAAUUCUGCAGGCCCCUACGACGAGGGAAGAAACUUCUCUUUCAGACGACGUGUCUCUCUUAGGCGCCUUUCCAAAAUCACAG